CCCCUCUCAGGGUCGCAUCUGGAGAGUUUCCAGUGCUCUACCAGUCACGACUACAGGAGGGAGAGUCAAGGGGAGGCCUACCCAUUCCAUUCUUAGCUUGGCCAGUGGCUAGUGAGUGGAAGGCAAUCUGCUACAAGU